AGAGUUUGAUCCUGGCUCAGAAUCAACGCUGGCGGCGUGCCUAACACAUGCAAGUCGAACGCGAAAGUGGAGCAAUCCAUGAGUAGAGUGGCAAACGGGUGAGUAACACGUGGGUGACCUGCCUUCGAGCGGGGGAUAACGUCCCGAAAGGGACGCUAAUACCGCAUAACAUCCUGCCUUUUAAGAGGUGGAGAUCAAAGCCGGGGAUCGCAAGACCUGGCACUUGAAGAGGGGCCCGCGCCUGAUUAGCUAGUUGGUGGGGUAAUGGCUCACCAAGGCAACGAUCAGUAUCCGGCCUGAGAGGGCGGACGGACACACUGGGACUGAGACACGGCCCAGACUCCUACGGGAGGCAGCAGUGGGGAAUUGUUCGCAAUGGGCGCAAGCCUGACGACGCAACGCCGCGUGGAGGAUGAAGACCUUCGGGUCGUAAACUCCUUUCGAUCGAGACGAAUGGUUUCCGGGUGAACAAUCCGGAGAAAUGACGGUACCGAGAGAAGAAGCCCCGGCUAACUCCGUGCCAGCAGCCGCGGUAAUACGGGGGGGGCAAGCGUUGUUCGGAAUUACUGGGCGUAAAGGGCUCGUAGGUGGCCAACUAAGUCAGACGUGAAAUCCCUCAGCUUAACUGGGGAACUGCGUCUGAUACUGGAUGGCUUGAGUUUGGGAGAGGGAUGCGGAAUUCCAGGUGUAGCGGUGAAAUGCGUAGAUAUCUGGAGGAACACCGGUGGCGAAGGCGGCAUCCUGGACCAAUACUGACACUGAGGAGCGAAAGCCAGGGGAGCAAACGGGAUUAGAUACCCUAGUAGUCC
rnacentral:rRNA from 1 species